rnacentral:rRNA from 1 species
CAAUAGCGUAUAUUAAAGUUGUUGCAGUUAAAAGCUCGUAGUUGGAUUUCUGGUGGGGUGGUUGGCUGGCGUCUAAUGAGUUUUGCGCCUAUACGUCUCCGCCAUCCUUGGGGAAAACUUGCUUGGCAUUAAGUUGUCGAGUUUGGGAUCCCCAUCGUUUACUGUGAAAAAUUAGAGUGUUCAAAGCAGGCUUAUGCCGUUGAAUACAUUAGCAUGGAAUAAUGGAAUAGGACUUUGGUGCUAUUUUGUUGGUUUAUGGGACCGAAGUAAUGAUUAACAGGGACAGUUGGGGCCGUUUAUAUUUCGUUGUCAGAGGUGAAAUUCUUGGAUUUACGAAAGAUAAACUUCUGCGAAAGCAUUCGGCAAGGAUGUUUUCAUUGAUCAAGAACGAAAGUUAGGGGAUCGAAGAUGAUUAGAUACCA